GACAGAGGGUGCAAACGUUGUUCGGAAUUACUGGGCGUAAAGGGCGCGUAGGCGGCCUGUUAAGUCGAACGUGAAAUCCCUGGGCUCAACCCAGGAACUGCGUCCGAUACUGGCAGGCUUGAAUCCGGGAGAGGGAUGCGGAAUUCCAGGUGUAGCGGUGAAAUGCGUAGAUAUCUGGAGGAACACCGGUGGCGAAGGCGGCAUCCUGGACCGGCAUUGACGCUGAGGCGCGAAAGCCAGGGGAGCAAACGGG
rnacentral:rRNA from 1 species